UAGAAUUGAUGCGAAAAUUUUGCCAGCUUGAUGAUCAACAUUAUUCAUUGAAUAAACAAAUUUAAGGUAUAUAAAGCCUGGUUUGAAUGAAUUGGUUAUCAGUUCUUAUAAUUGUUACUUCAAUUCAAUAAAUUUUCUUUUACACACUCUGAAAACAUGAAAUUCAUUUCUUUGUAUUUUAUUUUGUUCUUCUUGGGCAUUCUAAUUUGUCCAUCUUUGUCCCAGACUUGUUCACCUCAAAAAAAAUGCGGUUUUGGUGAGUUAUGUUUUCGUGGUUUUUGUCACUCACGGCUUCACUGAAGACGAUUAAAUGCUUUCAGUAUCCUAUACAUGAAAUUAAGUCAACGAGUAUAGUCGUUUUCAUUUUUUGUCUAUGUUAAGGGGAUCAAGCUAUUAUAAUUAAGCUAUGUCAUCUAUUCCGAAAUGAAUAAAGAAUAAAUAAUAUGAAUAAACUCGCAAA